rnacentral:rRNA from 1 species
GUGUGUGAUCAUACUAAUGUUAAUGCACCGAAUCCCAUCAGAACUCCAUAGUUAAGCACGCUUGGGCUAGAGUAGUACUGGUAUGGGUGACCUCCUAGGAUGUCCUAGUGUUGCAUCCU